rnacentral:rRNA from 1 species
AUUGAACGCUGGCGGCAUGCCUUACACAUGCAAGUCGAACGGUAACAGGUCUUCGGAUGCUGACGAGUGGCGAACGGGUGAGUAAUACAUCGGAACGUGCCUAGUAGUGGGGGAUAACUACUCGAAAGAGUGGCUAAUACCGCAUGAGAUCUACGGAUGAAAGCAGGGGAUCGCAAGACCUUGUGCUACUAGAGCGGCCGAUGGCAGAUUAGGUAGUUGGUGGGAUAAAAGCUUACCAAGCCGACGAUCUGUAGCUGGUCUGAGGAGACGAUCAGCCACACUGGGACUGAGACACGGCCCAGACUCCUACGGGAGGCAGCAGUGGGGAAUUUCGGACGAUGGGCGCAAGCCUGAUCCAGCAAUGCCGCGUGCAGGAUGAAGGCCUUCGGGUUGUAAACUGCUUUUGUACGGAACGAAAAGCCCUGGGUUAAUACCCUGGGGUCAUGACGGUACCGUAAGAAUAAGCACCGGCUAACUCCGUGCCAGCAGCCGCCGCGGUAA